rnacentral:rRNA from 1 species
CCUACGGGAGGCAGCAGUGGGGAAUAUUGCACAAUGGGGGAAACCCUGAUGCAGCAACGCCGCGUGAGUGAAGAAGUAUUUCGGUAUGUAAAGCUCUAUCAGCAGGGAAGAAGAUGACCUGUCCUGAAUAAGAAGCCCCGGCUAACUACGUUCCAGCAGCCGCGGUAAUACGUAGGGGGCAAGCGUUAUCCGGAUUUACUGGGUGUAAAGGGAGCGCAGACGGAAGUGCAAGUCUGGAGUGAAAGCCCGGGGCCCAACCCAGGAACUGCCAUGGAAACUUUGCGGCUAGAGUACUGGAGGGGCAGGCGGAAUUCCUAGUGUAGCGGUGAAAUGCGUAGAUAUUAGGAGGAACACCAGUGGCGAAGGCGACCUGCUGGACAGUAACUGACGUUGAGGCACGAAAGCGUGGGGAGCAAACAGGAUUAGAUACCCUUGUAGUC